GAAGUGCUGACGUGUGCGCGUGUGCGGUGUGUUGCUUGUGGGUGCGUGUGUGGUGUGUGCAUGUGUGUGCGCGCGCGUGUGUGCGGGGUGUGCCGUGAGCGUGUGCCCGCGGUUCGGGGGAUGAGUAGGGGCGCUGACUUUUAGGACCAGCCAUUUGAGUCAAGCUGGAGACGACGUCUUAGAACCUAGGAUGAGUCUCGUUUGGUUUUAGUCUGCAAAGCUCGUCUGCAUCAGACAGGAAUUUUCCCCAGACGCGGGUGCACGUGAAUUAAUUCAUCAGAAGGCGGUUCACGGCCUGAGUGAGGGGGACGAGGGCGGCGAAUUCCUCCGCCUCAUUCCUACCCUGACGAUUCGAGAUGCUCGCUUCACCCCACUGAGAUGUAACUCAGUUUUGUGGGAUCCCACUGCCCUCCAGGUGCCGCUCCGAGUGCUCUACACAGAUUUUCAUUCAGUCCUUGCGGCACACGAAGAGUGGCUGUACCAUUUUGCAUUCCCAGACCGAAGUGUGAAAGCUCCAGAUGCCCCACGCCCUCACCAGCCCACGGUGUUGUCAGCCUUAAUAGUGCUGACCAUUCUGCCUGUUAAUAUGAUGAAUUACACUGAUUCAGUUUCAAAUGUCCAACCAAGCUUGCACUCCAGAGAUGAAGCCCACUUGAUCACAUGGAUUAUUCUUUUAAUAUAUGAUGGAUACGACUUGGCUGUUCUUUUGUUGAGGAUUUUUGUGUUUAUGUUAAUGAGGAUAUUAUUUGUAGUUUUCUUUUCUUGUAAUGUUUUUGUCUUUGUUCAGUGUCAGAGUAAUGCCAACUUCAUAAAGUGAGCUGGGAAGUACUCCCUCAUUUUCUGUUUUCUGUGAAAGAAUUGUAUAGAAUUGAUGUUAUUUCUUCCUUAAGUGUUGAGUAGAAUUCACUUGCAAAGCCAUCUGAGGUUGACAUCUUCUUUGGGAAUGACUUUAGCUAUAAAUUCAAUUUAUUUAACAGAUAUAGGGCUAUUAAGGUUAUUUAAUUUUUUUCUUGAAUGAGCUUUAGUGUCCUGUGUUUUUCAAGGAAUUUUUCCAUUUUAUUUAAGUUUUUAGAUUUGUUGGCAUAAAGUUAUCCCAAUAUUUCCUUAGAAGUUGUGACUUUUACUGCAUAUAAAACAUACCUCAAUAAAGCUAAUACAUACAUAUAUAUAUAUGAAUCAUUUCUGGCCAGGUACAGUGGCUCAUGCCUGUAAUCCCAGCACUUUGGGAGGCAGAGGCAGGUGGAUCACCUGAGAUCAGGUGUUCCAGACCAGCCUGGCCAACAUGGGAAACCUGUCUCUACUAAAAAUACAAAAAUUAGCCAGGUGUGGUGGCAUGCCCCUGUAAUCCCAGCUACUUAGGAGGCUGAGACAGAAGAAUCGCUUGAAUCCGGGAGGUGGAGUUUGCAGUGAGCUGAGAUUGCACCACUGCACUCCAGCCUGGGCAACAGACUGAGACUCCAUCUCAAAAAAAAAAAAAAAAAUCCCUUUUUAUCUAAAGGAUCUGUAGUGAAGUCCCCUCUUUCAUUUCUGAUAUUGGUAAUUUGUGGGGUUUUUUUGUUUU
rnacentral:lncRNA from 1 species